rnacentral:rRNA from 1 species
UUGGAGGGCAAGUCUGGUGCCAGCAGCCGCGGUAAUUCCAGCUCCAAUAGCGUAUAUUAAAGUUGUUGCAGUUAAAAAGCUCGUAGUUGAAUUUCGGGAUCAAUAUGUCGGUCGUGCCUUCGGUACGUACUGGCAUCAUUGGUUUCUCCCUUCUGACAAACCAUGAUGUCAUUAAUUUGGUGUUAUGGGGAGUUAGGACUGUUACUUUGAAAAAAUUAGAGUGUUUAAAGCAGGCAUUAGCUUGAAUACAUUAGCAUGGAAUAAUGAAAUAGGACGUUUGACCCUAUUUUGUUGGUUUCUAGGAUCGACGUAAUGAUUAAUAGGGAUAGUUGGGGGCAUUAGUAUUCAAUUGUCAGAGGUGAAAUUCUUGGAUUUAUUGGAGACUAACUACUGCGAAAGCAUUUGCCAAGGAUGUUUUCAUUAAUCAAGAACGAAAGUUAGGGGAUCGAAGACGAUCAGAUACCGUCGUAGUCUUAACCAUAAACUAUGCCGACUAGGGAUCGGAUGAUGUUAAUUUUUUAAUGACUCAUUCGGCGCCUUACGGGAAAC